rnacentral:rRNA from 1 species
CGUACACUCCUACGGGAGGCAGCAGUGGGGAAUAUUGCACAAUGGGCGCAAGCCUGAUGCAGCCAUGCCGCGUGUAUGAAGAAGGCCUUCGGGUUGUAAAGUACUUUCAGCGGGGAGGAAGGCAAUACGGUUAAUAACCGUGUUGAUUGACGUUACCCGCAGAAGAAGCACCGGCUAACUCCGUGCCAGCAGCCGCGGUAAUACGGAGGGUGCAAGCGUUAAUCGGAAUUACUGGGCGUAAAGCGCACGCAGGCGGUCUGUCAAGUCGGAUGUGAAAUCCCCGGGCUCAACCUGGGAACUGCAUUCGAAACUGGCAGGCUUGAGUCUUGUAGAGGAGGGUAGAAUUCCAGGUGUAGCGGUGAAAUGCGUAGAGAUCUGGAGGAAUACCGGUGGCGAAGGCGGCCCCCUGGACAAAGACUGACGCUCAGGUGCGAAAGCGUGGGGAGCAAACAGGAUUAGAAACCCGAGUAGUCCCAUGA